UACAGAGGGGGCGAGCGUUGUUCGGAAUUACUGGGCGUAAAGGGCGCGUAGGCGGCCAACUAAGUCGGACGUGAGAUCCCCUGGCUCAACCAGGGAACUGCGUCCGAUACUGAUUGGCUUGAAUCCGGGAGAGGGAUGUGGAAUUCCAGGUGUAGCGGUGAAAUGCGUAGAUAUCUGGAGGAACACCGAUGGCGAAGGCAGCCAUCUGGACCGACACUGACGCUGAGGCGCGAAAGCGUGGGGAGCAAACAGG
rnacentral:rRNA from 1 species